UACGUAGGUGGCAAGCGUUGUCCGGAAUUAUUGGGCGUAAAGGGCGCGUAGGCGGCCUUCUAAGUCGGACGUGAAAUCCCUCGGCUUAACCGAGGAACUGCGUCCGAUACUGAAAGGCUUGAAUCCGGGAGAGGGAUGUGGAAUUCCAGGUGUAGCGGUGAAAUGCGUAGAUAUCUGGAGGAACACCGGUGGCGAAGGCGGCAUCCUGGACCGGCAUUGACGCUGAGGCGCGAAAGCUAGGGGAGCAAACGGG
rnacentral:rRNA from 1 species